rnacentral:rRNA from 1 species
GACGAACGCUGGCGGCGUGCUUAACACAUGCAAGUCGAACGCUGAAGCUUGGUGCUUGCACUGGGUGGAUGAGUGGCGAACGGGUGAGUAAUACGUGAGUAACCUGCCCUUGACUCUGGGAUAAGCCUGGGAAACUGGGUCUAAUACUGGAUAUGACAUGCCACUGCAUGGUGGUGUGUGGAAAGGGUUUUACUGGUUUUGGAUGGGCUCACGGCCUAUCAGCUUAUUGGUGGGGUAAUGGCCUACCAAGGCGACGACGGGUAGCCGGCCUGAGAGGGUGACCGGCCACACUGGGACUGAGACACGGCCCAGACUCCUACGGGAGGCAGCAGUGGGGAAUAUUGCACAAUGGGCGGAAGCCUGAUGCAGCGACGCCGCGUGAGGGAUGACGGCCUUCGGGUUGUAAACCUCUUUCAGCACGGAAGAAGCGAGAGUGACGGUACGUGCAGAAGAAGCGCCGGCUAACUACGUG